CCUACGGGGAGCAGCAGUGAGGAAUAUUGGUCAAUGGACGAGAGUCUGAACCAGCCAAGUAGCGUGAAGGAUGACUGCCCUAUGGGUUGUAAACUUCUUUUAUAUGGGAAUAAAAUGUUCCCCGGGUGGGAUGUUGUAUGUACCAUAUGAAUAAGGAUCGGCUAACUCCGUUCCAGCAGCCGCGGUAAUACGGAGGAUACGAGCGUUAUCCGUAUUGAUUGGGUUUAAAGGGAGCGUAGGCAGAUUGUUAAGUCAGUUGUGAAAGUUUGCGGCUCAACCGUAAAAUUGCAGUUGAAACUGGACGUCGUGAGUACAGUAGAGGUGGGCGGAAUUCGUGGUGUAGCGGUGAAAUGCU
rnacentral:rRNA from 1 species